GAUGAACGCUGGCGGCGUGCCUAACACAUGCAAGUCGAGCGAGAAAAAACCAAUUGAGUCUUCGGACAAGAGAAGUUUUGGAAAGCGGCGGACGGGUGAGUAACGCGUGGGUAACCUGCCCUAUGGAGGGGGAUAACGCAAAGAAAUUUGCGCUAAUACCGCAUAAGCACACAGGAUCACAUGAUCUAGGGUGAAAAACUCCGGUGCCAUAGGAUGGACCCGCGUAAGAUUAGCUAGUUGGUGAGGUAAUGGCUCACCAAGGCGACGAUCUUUAGCCGACCUGAGAGGGUGAUCGGCCACAUUGGGACUGAGACACGGCCCAAACUCCUACGGGAGGCAGCAGUGGGGAAUAUUGCACAAUGGAGGAAACUCUGAUGCAGCAACGCCGCGUGGAG
rnacentral:rRNA from 1 species